ensembl:Y_RNA Y_RNA Y RNA
GGCUGGUCCGAUGGUAGUGGGUUAUCAGAACUUACUAACAUUAGUGUCACUAGAGUUGGUAUACAACCCCCCAUUGCUAAAUUUGACUGGCUAUUU